UUCCACUGAGAAGAUAGUGGCGGACGGGUGAGUAACACGUGGGUAACCUGCCCAUAAGAGGGGGAUAACAUCCGGAAACGGGUGCUAAUACCGCAUAGUUUUCUUGAUCGCAUGAUUGAGAAAGGAAAGACGGCCUUUGUGCUGUCGCUUAUGGAUGGACCCGCGGCGUAUUAGUUAGUUGGUGAGGUAACGGCUCACCAAGACGAUGAUACGUAGCCGACCUGAGAGGGUGAUCGGCCACAUUGGGACUGAGACACGGCCCAAACUCCUACGGGAGGCAGCAGUAGGGAAUCUUCCGCAAUGGACGAAAGUCUGACGGAGCAACGCCGCGUGAGUGAAGAAGGUUUUCGGAUCGUAAAACUCUGUUGUCAGAGAAGAACAAGUCGGAGAGUAACUGCUCCGGCCUUGACGGUAUCUGACCAGAAAGCCACGGCUAACUACGUGCCAGCAGCCGCGGUAAUACGUAGGUGGCAAGCGUUGUCCGGAUUUAUUGGGCGUAAAGCGAGCGCA
rnacentral:rRNA from 1 species